rnacentral:rRNA from 1 species
UACGUAGGGGGCAAGCGUUAUCCGGAUUUAUUGGGCGUAAAGAGCUCGUAGGCGGCCGUUCGCGUCGGAUGUGAAAGCUCAGGCUCAACUCUGAGACGCCAUUCGAUACGGGACGGCUAGAGGUAGGUAGGGGAAAGUGGAAUUCCUGGUGUAGCGGUGAAAUGCGCAGAUAUCAGGAGGAACACCGGUGGCGAAGGCGACUUCCUGGCCUGUUCUUGACGCUGAGGCGCGAAAGCUAGGGUAGCAAACGGG